AGUGAACGCUGGCGGUAGGCCUAACACAUGCAAGUCGAACGGCAGCACAGUAAGCGCUUGCUCUUACGAGUGGCGACUAGCGGACGGGUGAGGAAUACAUCGGCUUCUACUUUUUCGUGGGGGAUAUCGUAGGGCAACUUACGCUACUACCGCAUAAGACUUACGACUGAAUGCAGGGGUUCUUCGUACCUUGCCCGCACGCAUGGGCGGAGGUCGGUUUUGUUAGUUGGUGGGGAAAAGACCCACCAAGGCGACGAUCCGUACCUGGUCUGCGAGGUUGAUCAGCAAAAUUGGAACGGGAAAACGGUCCAGAUCCCUCCGGGAGGCACCGUUGGGGAAUAUUGGACAAUGGGCGAAAGCCUGAUCAAGCCAUACCGCGUGGGGGAAGAAGGCCUUCGAGUGUUAAAGCCCGUUUGUUGGGAAAGAAAAUCAGCAGGUUAAUACCCCGCUGUUCUGACGGUACCCAAAGAAUAAGCACCGGCUAACUUCGUG
rnacentral:rRNA from 1 species